ensembl:snRNA U6 U6 spliceosomal RNA
GUAUUUGCUUGGACAGCACAUAUACUAAAAAUUGGAUCAGUACAGAGAAGAUCAGCAUGAUCCCUGCACAAGGGCAACACACAAAUUCACAAAGCACCCAAUACUUUG